AAACUGAGGAUAAUACUGGAUAGGCAAUUAUUCCUGCAAUGGUUUUUUGUUUAAAUGUUUUUUCGCCUAAGGAUGGGUCUGCGGCCGAUUAGGUAGUUGGUUAGGUAAUGGCUUACCAAGCCAUUGAUCGGUACGGGUUGUGAGAGCAAGAGCCCGGAGAUGGAACCUGAGACAAGGUUCCAGGCCCUACGGGGUGCAGCAGGCGCGAAACCUCCGCAAUGUGAGAAAUCGCGACGGGGGGGAUCCCAAGUGCCAUUCUUAACGGGAUGGCUUUUCAUUAGUGUAAAGAGCUUUUGGAAUAAGAGCUGGGCAAGACCGGUGCCAGCCGCCGCGGUAACACCGGCAGCUCUAGUGGUAGCAGUUUUUAUUGGGCCUAAAGCGUCCGUAGCCGGUUUAAUAAGUCUCUGGUGAAAUCCUGUAGCUUAACUGUGGGAAUUGCUGGAGAUACUAUUAGACUUGAGAUCGGGAGAGGUUAGAGGUACUCCCAGGGUAGAGGUGAAAUUCUGUAGUCCUGNGAGGACCGCCUGUUGCGA
rnacentral:rRNA from 1 species